GCCGUGGUAACAGGCCUCCGGUGGAGGGCGGGGACCCUCGGAAGCCAGCUGGGUGGCGAUCGCUUGUCUGCCUUGGCAGGCCCCUUGUGCAGUCUUUUCCCGGCGUGAGCGUGCAGGGAUUGAAAAGGAAUGCUUUAUGGUUCAGCAGAGAGCCACCACGCAGGAUGCACUGGGACCUGAGAACCGUCGGGCAGUCCCACGAGCUCUUUCAUGACCAGCUCCAACCGACAAGUACACGCCCCUUCGCACUCCACUAGCUAGUAAGCUGAGCUACAAGGUGUGCCAGGCACCCAGGACGCCGAUUCACCGCUUCAGUGAAGGCCCAGCUCAAAUGCCACCUCUUCCAUGAAGACUUCCGUGAUCCACAAUGAUAGCAUCUCCAGCAAUUGCUUCUAUAAUGAAUAGCAUGAGUCAUUCUGCAGGAUGUUGAUCUUCCUUUUUUUACUCCUAGACUGAAUUUUUCCACCACCUGGAUGAACAUAGCAGAAAGAACAUAGUGUUUUAGAGUCAGACACAAUAGGAAUCAGGCACUUUGGAAUCUUGGCUCUACCACCUUUGAGCUAUGUAUCCCAAGAGCCCUCUUUCUUCCAUUCACUUACCUGUCUAGUCAAACACCCAUCAGACCUUUGCCAGGUGUCCAGCCUGGGCACUACGUUUCAGAAAAUGAUGCACAUAGAAUCCCUAACUGAAAGGAGAUCGCAGCUCAUUUGGUACAAAGUGGUAACGGCAGAGUCCCAAAACACAUGAAGCAAGAACUGACAGAACUGGAGGGAGACAUCAAUCAAUAACAACAGUUGGAGAAUUCAAUACCCUGCUCUGAAUAAUGGAUAGAACAAUUAGGCAGAAGACCAACAAAGAAAGAGGAUAUUUGAACAACGUGAUAAGCCAAUUUGACCUAAUAAAUAUCUUUAUCUGUGAAACACCCUAGCUUUUAGCCUGGGUAAGGAGCUGGAGAGAUGUGAAAAUGUGGAAAGCAAGCCUAAGUCGCAGUGUGGCCUAUGCCUGAGAGCCAUCUUCAGUGCCCCCUUGUGGCUGUAUCUGGGAACCACAGACAGAAUCAUGGAACUGACCAUCUUCAGUCUCAAAGUGCUGCCCUCACCACUACACCCAGGGGCAGGUGGUCUUCGGGGGAAAGGCGGUUCCAGUUCCUUCUCCCAAGGUAACAACUCCCAUCCCAAGGCAAUGUUCACAGAACCUAUCAGAGUCCCCCCUGCCCUAUGCACAGCUUAAGACCAGGGUGGUCUCAGCUCUGAUCAGGCCACUGAGGGCAUCUGUCUGAGAUUUGGGACCCAGUUAUUGUCCCUGUUCUUCUUAGGCAGAUGGCGGAGUUCCCCAGUACACAGAAGGUGCUCACUCUUCACAAAAAGCAGUGCUUGAGAAUAACAGCCUACCUUGGUGGAGUAGCUUCGUUAGGGCCAGGGCUUGACUUGAAGCCAGAGACUGAGGUUGCAGUCCAGCCUUGGGUCAGCCUCAGGCUGGGGCUGGGGUGAUGCUGAGACCCUCACCAGAAAAAAGGCCUUUACCCCAUCCGAAAGGAAAUGGCUAUCCUCUGACCUGAGCACUCUAGCCUGAGGCCUGCCUGGCGCUAGAAGCCAGCCUCUGUUGUCCCCUCCCAGCACUCCUCCCACUGCUCUGCCUUUCUGCCCACAUAGAAACUCUGGAGACACCAGCUCCCCACCCUUCCAAGCUAAGCCCCACUGCUGUCUCUGCCUCCUCCAUCUUUCAAACCGGCAAUGUUUUUCCAAUCAGGCCUCCCUAUCCUUCCCCUACUGCUCUGCCCUUCACUGCCUUCCUUUCCUGGCGACUCUCAGCCGCCCUUCAAGGCCCAGCUCAGGCGUUCUUUCCUCAGUGACGCACCCCCGGGCAGGCUGGGGCUUCUGGCACAGCUCUGGCCACCCUGCGUAUCUUCAGCUGUUCCCAAUGUUUGUCUCUGCUCCCAAGUAGCUCUCUCACAGUUUCUGGCACAGAGGAGUUGGCCCUGAGGGGGAUGAACAGCAAGGACAGGCAGGACAGUUCUGGCAGUAAGGAAGUUAGAACAAGGUCCUUUGGUCUCGGCUAGGAAGGGUUCCCAGGUGCUUAGUACUCACUGAACAGAAAGGAAUUAGAAAAGAGGUGGCAUCUUGUAAUCGCUAGGGUGACAGCAGGCCAGGCCUCUGCCUUUUUGGUAGAGCUGAGGCCAGGGGCAGGGAACACAGCUUGAGUGACCCAUAAGGAGCCUUCCAGCUCAGCCACCCAAGGGCCCCCCAGCUGGACAGGAGCCCUUUACCACAUGGUAGGCAUCAUGUCAAGUGGCUCCCAAUGACCCCUGCCCCCUGGCAUCCAUUCCCUGGUGUAAUCCCCUCCCGUCCAGUGGGAGCUGGACCGAGCAAUGUUCAUUUAAUGAACAGAAUAUGGCAAAAGUGACAGGAUAUCACUUCCCAGGUUAGGUUAUAAGGGCCUGGGACUUCCGUCUUGCUCGCACACUUCACUCCACUCACUGGCUCUUCUUGCUAAGUAAGCUGGUGUGCCGUGAGCUACCCCAUGGAAAGGCCCAUGUGGCAAGGAACUGAAAGUGGCCUCUGUCAACAGCCAGUGAGGAAGUCAAUCCUGCGAACAACUGCAGGAACGGCCUUGGGAGUGGAUCCUUCCUCAGCCCGGCUCCAAGACAACUGCAGCCCUGUGAGAAACCCUGAGUGGAGGACCAAGCCAAGCCUCAAAUCGUGACUUGGAACUGGGAGACAACAGAUGCUGUUGGAAGCCACUGAGCUCUGAAGUAGUUUGUUACACAGUGACAGAAUCUAGGAUCUGGGGAAGGUAAACUGAGGCCACCAGUAAGCAUGUGCUCCAGGCCAAGGCUGAGUCUGUGCUGCAUCCAUGUCAUCAGCCACCCAAGAAAAACCAGUUACUCCACCUAGCUCAUGGUGGCGGCAUCCUCCCUGCAAUGGUGCAUGGGGGGCAGUCCUUUCCCCUGCAGGGUGUCAUUGCCACCCCCAUCCUCAUCCUGGAGGCCAGUCCAGGCUCCGAUAUGAGUGACUAGGGGUGAGGUAGGGGUGGCAGAAGGGAGAUCAAACUGGAGCAUUCCAGAUGCCUACUACUGCCCUCACACAACGGGGCAACUGUGCUCUCCAACUCCUCCCCUUGGCAGAGAAACUGGUCCUGCAGUUUCAGGACUAGACGAGCGUGGGGUAGUGGCAAUAAAGGGGCUUGUAUGAGAAGUG
rnacentral:lncRNA from 1 species